UACGAAGGGGGCUAGCGUUGCUCGGAAUGACUGGGCGUAAAGGGCGCGUAGGCGGCUUGUCGAGUCGGGUGUGAAAUUCCUGGGCUUAACCUGGGGGCUGCAUUCGAUACGUAUGGGCUUGAGUGCGGAAGAGGGUCGUGGAAUUCCCAGUGUAGAGGUGAAAUUCGUAGAUAUUGGGAAGAACACCGGUGGCGAAGGCGGCGACCUGGUCCGUGACUGACGCUGAGGCGCGAAAGCGUGGGGAGCAAACAGG
rnacentral:rRNA from 1 species